CCUCAAAGGUAAAAUCCAACCUAUCCCCUUUGGCGGCCUUCAAUCUUAUUAAAGGAACUUGUUGUCUGACCGAUGAUACGCGAUACUUUUAGCUUAGACCUAAUUUUUAUACCGCCGUCCAAAGGAUAAAAUUAAAUAUUUUAUUCACUCCAUACCACUCAAGUAAAAAUGUCAGGUCAAGGUGAAGUUUAUGUCUAAGUUUCAAUGAGUUAUCAAUAAAAAUAAUUUAUGGACUUCUGUUUAAAAACACAAAUCGAAUUAAGAUUUAAAAGUAUUUUCAGUUCAAUACACUAAAAAGAAUAAGCAAAAAAGGUGUACAUAUCGCCCGUCGCCCUCGUCCAAAGAUGAGGUAAGUCGUAACACAGUUAAUGUACUGGAAAGUGUAUUAAGCGUAACAGCUCCAAGCUAUUAGUAUUUCACUUACACUGAAAAGAUUUCAUUUACCUCUGUAUAAGUUUUUAUCCACAAAAUCUUCGCGCCCAUAUAUUUCUAUCUCAAUGCUCAAAAAACUGAAAAGGAUUCACCAAAAUAUAGUUCAAGUAAAUCUAUGUACCUUUUGUAUCAGGGAUUUUCAAAUCUCCACAGCAUACUUCAAACUCCCGAAACAAAACGAACUUUGAAUCUUAGUAAAAGUUGUGGCACAAACAAUAUAAAUUUUUCAAAGUUGAGAUAUUCUUUUCAAGUCUUCCUAUAUCUGGUUCACACUCCCACCAACUCUUUCUUCUAGUUCAAAGAAUAAGCUUUGAACCAAGCUUACCAUCUUCCCAUUUUCUGAACCUAGGUUUAAUAGUAUCUGCGCUGUUUUCAAACUCCAUAUCAUAGGACAUUCAAGCAAAAUCUCAUCCAAAUGAAUCAUCCCAUUAACAUUACAAUGAAAAUAUCAGUAAAAUUUCUUCUUCUUCAACCCCCUGAACUUUUCCCCUAACCAUAAGCUCACAUUGAAUUUAUGAACUAGGCCCACAAUCAAUUGACUGUUUAUCAAAAACAUAGCUAAUAGAUCUCAAUUACUAGUAGUACCUGCUCAAUGAAAAAUAAAUAGCCGCAGA
rnacentral:rRNA from 1 species